rnacentral:lncRNA from 1 species
GGUUGAAUGAAUUUUUAAUACACCAAGGUGACAAUCACGUUGUGUGUGGGUGGUAGUGGAGAAAAUGUGACAUAUUUUUAUUUGAAAUUUGAAUUAGGAAUUUAGGAUGAGGGUUGAUAACUUAACCUCUUUGAUUUUUCAAAAGUCAUGUGGGUUAGUAAUUUGAUUGGAGAAAAGUCGUGUGAUAAAGGAAAUGGUGACAUUUGGAAGUCCCUUUAGUCUUUACCUUCCAUUUCAUUCAACAGAAAAGUCCAUACCGUUGAGGUCACGGGAUUCAACAUUUAGCUAAACUAAUACUGGUAGCCUUUUGAUUGUGGUCCCUAAUUGAAACGACUAGAAUAUAUGUCAUUGUGCAUUAAAGGAUCUGGAAAGAUCAUUAAUGUUCCCUUGUAGAAAAGUACACUUUAAAUUAUUAAAAUUUAAAAUUGUCCUACAAGGUAAAUGACAAAAGAAUAACUUGACAUCCAAUUUACGGUGGGGUUUAGCAUGGGAAAGAAAAAUUGAUUCCCACCGUGAAAAAGUUUUUUUGGACGGUUAGAUUAAAGAAGAACACAAAUUUUAUAAUGGUAUGUCCAUACUAUAUCAUCCAUCAACAUUAUCUCUCUUCCAUUCCCCCCACUCAUGCACUCAACCACCACCACCACCACACUAUUCAUCUUUCCUCUCAAUCUUAGUUUUCAACGCACAGAAGAACACAAAUUUACCACUGAAUUGUGCUUUAGAAACUAUCGCCAGCAAACCUAUAGGGUGGCAUUUGGUAUGCACAAAUGCAUGAUUUGUGCACCAUGCACAAACAACACUUUUAUGGACUGGUGACAGUUUUGGUGGGGUGGGGUGACCUGCUGAAAAUAAAUAAAUAAUAAAAGAAAACAUAUUAUAAUGGAAAAUAUUUGGUUUUAUUGUUUUUGGUGGUUACACCCCCCAAAAGUGAAACAUGAAGUAGUAAUGCACACCACCCUUAGAAAUACGUGCUAUCAGCUUGGACACACCACUGCAAUCACGACAGAUUUCUCACCUCACCGCUCACUCAUCAUCCUUCUCGGCAGAAAGUAGCAGCGGUGGCUGUUAAAUUCUUGGCACCCAAUUUUUAUUUUUUUUUUACAGAAAAUUAACAUGCAUUGAAAAGGAUGGAGAGGAUGCCGUGAAGGGAAAAACCCCAGCUGAAGAGUUUGAGUAGAAGUGAAAGGGGAAGAAAGACAUGAAGUAGAGGUUGUGACGUUGUGUUUACGUGCUGCUAUACUUGACAUGAAGAAUAAGUAGUUUCAGACAAUAACAAUUAGAUUUAGCAUUCAAAAAAAAUCUAAUGAGGAGUGAUUUUCUGCUGCUACUUGUUUGUGUACAUAUGAGUGGCAGCCAUUGAUGAUUGAGUUUGAAGCUUUUGGACCUAAUUUCAUGAAGAAAUUUGUUUUAUUAAAAUAUAAUAAUCUUAUCAAUUCUGACUUUAAAUCCAAAUUUAAAUUCUAGAAAAACUUUUUUUCAUGAUGUUGAUAAUCUUUAACUGCUCACCAAAAAAGUAGUGAUCGAUGAGCCUCAAUCAUGUUUUUAUUUUAUUUUUUUAAAUAAAAAAUAAUUUUCGAUCAAAAUAAUUAAAUGUCCAAUAUGCUUUUCCAAAAAAAAAAAAAAAAAAUCUUGUCAUUGCCUCCUUUGGUUGUUGCAAAAGUGAGUUAAAUGUUGCUGAAUAUCAUCUGGGUUGUUUGGCGAGGAAGAACCAAUGUUGUUGGUGUAUGCUAAGUACCAUAGAGCUUCACUAUCCAAUGGCUAAAAAUUACUAUGAUACUCCCUCUGCGGUUGAUUGUUCCCCUUUCCUCUACCACAUCUCUCCUUCACAUGCAACCUUCUUCCUCAACACUCCUCCGCCGCGUGAGUUCCGACCACCACUGUUGAAGCGAAACACAAUCUCCACAACGAAAAAGCUUCCUUACUUUCCCUCCUCAACCUUCUCGAAGCUCCAAUACCAACGCUUGCUUCAACUUCACCUCACACCUGUAAUUUUUUUAUUAAGAAUUUUUUUUCUUCAAUGGUUGGUAGAUCAUGAUGGAUCUAUUGAUGAUUAUGGGUUUG